rnacentral:rRNA from 1 species
ACGAACGCUGGCGGCGUGCUUAACACAUGCAAGUCGAGCGGUAAGGCCUUUCGGGGUACACGAGCGGCGAACGGGUGAGUAACACGUGGGUGAUCUGCCCUGCACUUCGGGAUAAGCCUGGGAAACUGGGUCUAAUACCGGAUAUGACCUCCUAUCGCAUGGUGGGUGGUGGAAAGAUUUAUCGGUGCAGGAUGGGCCCGCGGCCUAUCAGCUUGUUGGUGGGGUAAUGGCCUACCAAGGCGACGACGGGUAGCCGACCUGAGAGGGUGACCGGCCACACUGGGACUGAGACACGGCCCAGACUCCUACGCGAGGCAGCAGUGGGGAAUAUUGCACAAUGGGCGAAAGCCUGAUGCAGCGACGCCGCGUGAGGGAUGACGGCCUUCGGGUUGUAAACCUCUUUCAGCAGGGACGAAGCGCAAGUGACGGUACCUGCAGAAGAAGCACCGGCUAACUACGUG